rnacentral:rRNA from 1 species
UGCGCAGGCGGGCUUGUAAGUCAGUGGUGAAAUCUUGCCGCUUAACGGUAAAACUGCCAUUGAUACUGCAAGUCUUGAAUAUGGUUGAGGUAGGCGGAAUGUGUUGUGUAGCGGUGAAAUGCAUAGAUAUGACACAGAGCGCCGAUUGCGAAGGCAGCUUACUAAGCCAUUAUUGACGCUGAGGCACGAAAGCGUGGGGAGCGAACAGGAUUAGAUACCCUGGUAGUC